CCCAGGAGGAAGGAGCUCUCUGCUGUGGGAGAGAAGAGAAGCCUGAUGAAGGAGAAGCAUCUGAUAUGCUGUGGGAUGAAGAACCCUGAGUUCUGUCCUUCUGGCUUCCAGUGACUAUUAGGUAAAAGAGAGCAGUUGAGGAAGAAUGUAGAUCACUCGCAAGAAAAAUUGUUCAGAAGCCUCACGGAUGCAGAGUGGCCCCUCUCCCCAACCCAGCCCCACCCCCAGCUAGCGGCUGUCAAUGCCAGCAGCUGGUAGGUGAGGGGUCCCUCAUGAUAAGGAACGGAGGCACAUAGACUUAAGGUACAGUGGUUUGUGUCUAACUUCAGUUACUUAGCACCUGGUUUUUAAAACAUGUAUCUUUAUUUAGGACUUUGUGUUCAAAACAGAACUUUCAUUGAUUUUUUUGAUUGCUGCUGUAAAUGGUCAGAAAUUUUGCAAAUCAGAUCCCAAGUUCUGCAAUCACACACCCUAGUUUGAUUCUCAGAAAUGUCUGGAGAUAUAUAUUUUUUUCUGUUUUUGUUUUUUUUGGUUUGUUUUUUUUUUUUUUUGGUAUCACUGCCAUGCCUCAGAAUUUGAGCCUAGAUGGUUAUAUAUUUUUAAAGUAUUAUGUAACUGAAAACAGUGAA